UGCGAUUUUACUUCAUAGGAUCAUUUCUAUAGUAAAUCGUCUCAUCUGAACUCUUUACCAGAGCCACAGAUUAUUCUCCAACCUGGUUGAUGAUCGAUAUCCUCACCACCCCAGAGUGAAGUCUUUACUGCCGGUCCUUCGGGAUGGGUGCUGAUGAUCUCGACCCGAGGUUCCAUAUGCUGUAAAAACGGCGGGACUGAGGGUGGGUGAUGAUGGAGGUCUGACAGAC
rnacentral:snoRNA from 1 species